UACAUGGGGUGCAAACGUUGCUCGGAAUUAUUGGGCGUAAAGCGCACGUAGGUGGUCUGUUAUGUCAGAUGUGAAAGCCCUCGGCUUAACUGAGGAAGUGCACCUGAAACUGGCAGGCUUGAGUACGAAAGAGGGUCGCGGAAUUCCCGGUGUAGAGGUGAAAUGCGUAGAUAUCGGGAGGAACACCUGUGGCGAAAGCGGCUCACUGGACCACAACUGACGCUGAGGCGCGAAAGCUAGGGGAGCAAACAGG
rnacentral:rRNA from 1 species